rnacentral:rRNA from 1 species
AUUGAACGCUGGCGGCAGGCCUAACACAUGCAAGUCGAGCGGAUGAAGGGAGCUUGCUCCUGGAUUCAGCGGCGGACGGGUGCGUAAUGCCUAUGAAUCUGCCUGGUCGUGGGGGAUAACGUUGGGAAACGGGCGCUAAUACCGCAUACGUCCUGCGGGAGAAUGUGUGGGAUUUUUGGACCUCUCGCUCUCAUAUGUGUCUAUGUCGGAUUAGCUAGUUGGUGGGAUAAACGCCUACCAAGGCGACGGUCCGUUACUGGUCUUAGAGGUUGAAAAGUUACACUAGAACUGAGAAACGGUCCUUACUGCUACGGGAAGCGGCUGUCGGGAAUAUUGGAGUAUGAUCGAUAGCCUGGUCCAGCCAGGCCGCGUGUGUGAAGAAAAUGUUCGGAUUGUAAAGCACUAUAAGUUUGGUGGAAUGGCAGUAAGUUAAUAACUUGCUGUUUGGACGUUACCAACAGAAUAAGCACCGACUAACUUCGUG